rnacentral:sRNA from 1 species
GGAUGUGAGGGCAAUCUGUCACCCCAUUGAUCACCAGAAUUGAUCUGGCUGGCUAGGCAGGUGUCCCCUUCCUCCUUCACUGCUCCAUGUGUGUCCCUUCAAAGCUGUGGGCUUGGUUGACCUCCACUGAAUAAAGGAGGACCUUUUUUGGGUCACGGGUAUAUGAGUAGCUGCGCUUCCCUACUAGAACCUCCAAACAAGCAUUCACUUGGGUUUUUUUGUUUUGUUUUGUUU